UCGAGGCGAUUGAGCAUUUCGAGAGCAGUUGAAUUUGAGUCGUCGUGGAAAACGGUUCUGAAGAAAAAUCGGUCCCUGUUUACAGUUUUCAAUACACCCGUGUUUUUCCCGUGUUUUGUCUUACCCCUCGGCUGGUAAAGAAUUCGUCGCGAAAAUUUUCCCGGUGUAGUUUUCCCCUGUGUGUGGCGGCGUUUUAUUCGCGUGUUUUGCUACAGCCACGGUGUUGUGUGUACCGUUUCGCAGCGACCGUUGCGUGAACGUGUGUGAGAGUGGUGUGUCAGUGUGUGUGUGUGUGCGUGCGCGAUAGUGUCUUGACGUUGCGUUUUUGUGUGUGUGCGUAUCGCAUUAAACCAGCAAAAACACCGCGUUGCAUUUGCGAGUGAGCAAAAGCGCAGCGAAGAAAAAAAAACACGAACACCAUCAGAACGAAGCGGAGAAACGAAUCCGCCGUCAUCAACAGCGCGAACCGAUUAGGGGAAAUAGCACGGUGAGAGCGAGAGCGAACAGUUUCGUUUCGUGUGCGCGCGUCUUUUUGGUGUGUUGUGUGUGAUCGCGAGAGUAAGCGAGCGAGCACGGUAAGUGCAGAGCGCGCGAGAGAGCACCGUAUCCGACAGUCGUGGUAUUUCGCUCGGCAGCAGCAGAGGCAGCAGCAGUAAAUUGUAAGCCGCAGUAGUUAGCAGUUGUCGUCGAGUUCGCAGCCCAGCGUCGCCACACGGAAGAGCCCCCAGCCAGCAGCGCAGAGUGUGCAAAAGCAACCUCCACAGAAAAGGCAGCCUUGUCUAUUGUCAGCUAGUUUUUUUUUGCGUGCAGCAAAAACCCACAGACACCAAGCACCCUUUUUAGCAGCAAAGAUGGCCGAUCAACUUACGGAAGAACAGAUCGCUGAAUUCAAAGAAGCGUUCUCGCUGUUCGACAAGGACGGCGAUGGCACAAUCACGACCAAGGAAUUAGGCACCGUUAUGCGAUCGCUAGGUCAGAACCCCACAGAAGCAGAACUGCAAGACAUGAUCAACGAAGUCGACGCGGACGGUAACGGCACGAUCGAUUUCCCCGAGUUUCUAACAAUGAUGGCUCGUAAAAUGAAGGACACGGAUAGUGAAGAGGAAAUCCGGGAGGCAUUCCGAGUCUUCGACAAGGACGGCAACGGUUUUAUUUCGGCAGCUGAGCUGCGCCACGUCAUGACUAAUCUGGGCGAGAAGCUAACAGACGAGGAAGUCGAUGAGAUGAUCCGUGAAGCCGAUAUAGAUGGCGAUGGCCAGGUUAAUUAUGAAGAAUUCGUAACAAUGAUGACAUCGAAGUGAGCUACAGGUCGAUACAUUGCGCCUUUCUAUUUGUUUAUUAAGAAGACUGUAGCCACGCGCAACAACAGCUGCGCAACGCUAUCGAUUUGGAUUUAAAGGGAAGAACAUGAAGAUACAGCGUGGGAUAAUGGAGAGUGGAGACAAGCAAGAUGAUGAUUCAAAGAAAGGAAGGAAAAGAUGCAAAGCAGUAAAGAGAAAAGAAAUACAGAGAGUAAAGAAAAUCGAUAAACAUUAAAUUAAACAUUAAAGCAUAACACAGAAAAUACCAAACAAGAGCAAGAAGAAAACAAGAGAAGAAAAAAACACAGUGAAAAUAAUGAAUGGGAAAAAGUGAAAAAGCAUAGCAUACCACAGCUUGAAGAACAUCUACAAAUUAAAAAAAACAACAGCAACAACAACAACAUCAACAGCUAUAUUUUAACAACUAUAACCGAAACGAAGCAACAGGAAACAACAGCCAUAACUAUAUUAAACAUCUUCAUCACCACUACUACCAUCACAAAAGAGACACAACACACCUCUCCCACGCAGAUGAAAGAAAGAGAAAAAGUGUGUCAGCAUUGCUAAUGUGUGUACGCACAACAGGCACGAAUUUGUUCAACAGUCGCAGUAGCAACAGCAGCGGAAGCAGCAGCAGCCUCAGCAGCAGCAGCAGCAGCGGCAACAGCAGCAGCAUUAGCGGCGCAGCGGUAAAACCGGCAGCAGCAGUAGCAGCAGCGCAGCGCAGACAGCAGCUUAUCUUUAUCCUAACAUCGCAGAAUAGUGUCGAUUGAUAUCUCUCUUUAUCGCAAACAAGGCACAUUAGCAAGAUUACUUGCGUAGCGUACGUAAAACCAUCAAAUACAUGCCUCCGAAAGAGGUUUACAGUGUGUUACAAAUUUUGCUUGCAUUGGAAUUAAAACCACAAAGAACAAAACAAAAUCAAACAUGCAGGAAAAAAAAAGGUUAAAGAUGUCUCUAGCCUGCCUAAGGGCCAUGUGUGUAGUGUGCUGUAACAGAUAGAUUCUUAGCGAUUACUGCAAAUCCAUUCACUUUACAACAACGAGAUUUACACGCCACUCUCUCUGCAUUGUGUAGUGCUGAGUUUACGAGACUUACCAGCAAGCACACUAAUUGAUAGUCGGUUCGAAAAAGGGUCUGCUAACAUCGGUUGAAGCAAUACUCUGUCAGUAUGCGUCACAAUUGGAAUACAAAACGAGGUAAAACGAAAAAAAAACUGCAUAAAACAACAGUGCAAUUGUAGGCGAAGAUAGAAAAACAAAACAAGAGAAGAAAAACCACAAGAGCGCAUAAGAAAUGCCAGUAAACAUUAUUGAUAAAAAUAAGAGCUUUUCACUAAGAACUACUACCAGCAAGUAAGAGAAAGAGAAAAUGUAUUUAAAAACUGUUUAUGAAAAAAAAAUACAGACACACACACGUACAUACGAGCAAACACGAACAAUACAAUCACAAACAAACACACAUGUACACAACACAGUGUGUACUGUACACAUUAAACCCGCAAGAAAGAAAAAAAAACCAAAACAUGAAAAGUUCCGCAUGUGCGCAAACACAAAACGAAACACUUGUAAAACGAAAUCCAAAUGAAAGAUAUUUUCUUCCUUUCUUUCUUUCGUCGUCGUUGUCGUCGUCGUUGUCGCGUUUGUUAGUUGAGGAAAUAUUUGAAAUGAAAAACACACAAAACAAACAAAACCUUACGAGUAACAACAAGUAACACAAAAAAAGCAACAACAAAAAAACAAAUAUAACAGCUAAUACAACAACAAAAAGAAAAUUUGCACACAUACAAAACAUACACAGGCAAACACACACACAAACACACUUACAUGAAUCCACGCAUACAUACAAACAAAGAUACAGUUAGGAGAAGCGUAAGGAAAUAUUUGAUAGAGAACAACGGAACAAACAAAAAAAAACAAACAAAUACAGAAAGGAAAGUAGAGAAGCAGCGCGCAGCGUAAGAAUUGUUGUGUUUGGUAAUUAUUGCACGAUAGUAGCGCAAAUGCAGAAGCGCAGCGUGAGCAAAAUAAAAGGGAAAGCAAAAUGGUAGCAUAACCGAAAUAACAAAAACAAAGUAAGUUAAAAAUACACUAAUAGAUAAUACACAAGAAAAAAGUAAAGAGAAAAGCGUGAAACAAAGAAGAGAUAACGAAGAUAUAUUAAAUAAAUAUAUAUACCUAUAUAUAUAUAUAUACACACACAAACACACAACCAUUUGACUCAGUAAUCCCCACCAUCGCUACCACACCACAGCGUAGCUCCACCACCCAACCACACCACCCACUCACCAUAACCGUGCGUGCGUGUGUGCGUGCAAGUGCGUGUGUGUGCGUGUUUGUGUAUGUGCGUAUGCAUAUUAGUGAGUGCAUCCGUACGUAAGUGCUUCAUCGCGUUGCGUACAGGCGCCCGAAGCACGUGUUAGUAUGAUUAGUUGGAAGUAAAGUCAACUACUCUCUAAGCAUUACCACAGAACCGAAACAAACCCAACAUUCAGAGAGAUGGAGAGAAAGGCAAGGAGAAGCGGUUUAGCAGGACAGGGGAGUUGUGCGAAGGGGGAGAAGGAAGCGAAGGAUAAUAGGGGGAAUGCGUGAGAACCGUGCGUUUGGAACGUGUGGGAAGUUUUGCAUAUGGAGAAAUGGAUAGUGUGUGGAAGUUGUUGAAACGAAGGAACGAGAUGAGUAACAAUAUAAUAAUUAAUAAACAGCUGAAGAGCACUCUCUACUACUACUCUUUCGUAGUUUUCUUUUUAAAUUAUCCUCUUUUUUGUUGCUUUUUUGUAUAUUCUCAAUGUUUUAUGACACUUUAAAAAAGGUGAUAUCUUCCUUGCGUGAGAAAGAAGUUGAUCGAGAACGGUGUUGUUGUUUGCGCCUCUUGCAUAGUUUCGCCACUAUAUGUAUAUUGUGUCCUGUCUGUUGAAGGUUUAGUGCUAUAGAUUCGCUUACUAUUGCUACCAUUACUAAACCGAAAAAGAAACACUCACACAGAUACACAGUUCUAUUCCAGUCCUUUUGCCAUAUAAAACGUUUGUCCUUUUAGAAAACACGAAAUUGUAAGUGCUCUCCUAUAGUGCUAUUUUAGCAAUAAUUCACUACUACCACUACUGCAUCUACUGGAAGUAAGAAAAACAAAACAACACAAGAAAAACGCAACACAUAGUAAGAUGAAAACAUGUGCAUGAUGCAAGUAUUAAUUAAAUAAAACUACUAGCAAAAACAAUACACUCGCGAACACAGCAAACAAUUGUGGAAACUUCACCGUACGAAGUACUAGCGAAACAAAAACCAAAACCAAAACGAGCGAAUCUCGAUAGCUUGGCUACAGUUGCAGCUCUAUAUUUUAGAAAAUAGUAAGCUAACUAACUUCCCGUGCGGCGGCUGUUAUGCGUAGCAGUUUUGCAGUGGGGAGCGAAUUUAAAAAAGGCAUUCCAAUUGGAUUUGUACGUUUUUGGACGGGGGAAAAGUGCAAUCACAGAUAGAGACACACACACACACAAUCCAGCUCGUAACUUAAUCACUUGGAUGAUCGUUUAGAGGAUAAAACUACAGUGACAUGUACGAAUACGAAAAUUACACUUGAAGAAAGAAACAACAAAAAAAGCGAAAAACAAACGAUACCAACUCAACAUUGAAACAAACUCCCUAUACUCCCUUUCUUAUAUGCUAAUGAACGGUUAAACAUAUAUUUUAGUGAUAAAUCAGAUACAAAUCAAAGAAGGACGUAGGGAAUAGAGUUAAAAACACAACACUUUUGAAGGGAUUUUUUUUUUAAAUCGUUUAAUUCCGCUAGUGUGACAGGACAAACGGACAAAAGAACAGGUAAAAGAUACUUAAGGAGAACACAGAAGAAAAACGCAAACCCCUUUAAACCAUUUUGCUCGAAGCGUUGCUUUUUGUUAAAGUUUAAUAACGUCUAUUGUCAGAUUUAGUGCUGCGAAACUGUAACUUGUGUUUUUCCUUGGGAGUAAAGUUUUUUUUCUUUGGUGAACACUA